AUGCUGGUGAUACAUAAUGCUAUUUCUCAGUGGUUUUCUUGUUUUAGCCAGGGCAGUGGGUGGGGAAAAGCAUCACUGCCUGUGUGCACAUGUUACACACUUGUGAGAGGAGCACAACAAAUCUGCUCCCAGGAAUGCAAGGAGAAAUCUGCUGCUAAUUGGACGUGGGAACUGAAUUUUGGUUGCUGUUUUAAACAAAAGCCACUGAUAAUCCAAGUCAAACAUUGCAUCUUCCACACUGCUGUGUCUGGGACUUGGUAAUGGUGAGACACAUCUACCAAAUGGAACAAUCUCUGGAUUCUGACCCAACAUGCCACUUCACCCUGUACUGUAGUGGGACCCAUGAGCUGUACACAUACAAACUGCUAAUGCAUGUUACUUAAAAAAGGGCUCAUUUCACAUGACUGAAGGUCUUCUUUCCUCUGUAAUUCUGUAAAAACAGUGCUCUAAGGAUUUGCUGCUUGAUCCUGGACUUCAGAUGGAUUACCUAAACUGAAACACAUUAUGAUGUAUUCUAAACACAGCAGCAGCAUAAAUAUGGGUAUUUUUUGCUACUUAAUAUAGACUACAGAUCCUCUCCAAGUCAGCUGCUUAUGCUACCCUCAAGCAAGUUGCCAACAUUCAACUAGUUAAGAGCAUUUGUCCCCAAAUGAGAAUUUACUUUCAGAUCUAGUGAUUUGAUUAAAAUAGCACUGCCAAGCUGCUGGUGGAAUGCAUCUAAAGGACUGACUAAAUUCACACUUUAGGCACUUUAUUCCUCCUACAUUCAUAAGAAAUGUUAGUGAUGGAAUAAUUUUAUGGGUCACUGGAAAGAGUAGCUGCUUUUGCUGCUGUCACUGAUUUAUACUGUCAAGCCAAGAUCUUAGCCUUGUCUUGCCUGCCUGUACCACACUAAUAACCAGACGAUGUUGCUGCAUAUUUCAAAGAAGAAGUAGGUAACCCUGUGCUUCAGAAGAGGGAGAUAAUAUUUUCCAUCACUCUAGAUUAUUCUUUCUUUCCUUAAUUCAUUCUCACUGUUCCUCCUGCAUUGACAGAAUAGUAACUCCAAAGGGAUAUUUAACUAGCCCCAGCCUACUACCAACAAUUGGUAGUAUUUUGCCUUGAAGUGAGUGAAAUGUACUACUUAGAUAGUAACCCUUUUCUUUGCCAAAUGUAUAAGGGAAAAUUAUUUCUGCUUUGAGUCCCUUUAAAAUGGGAAAUAAAGCUGCUUGGCCAGAACUACCUGUAUUUCUU
rnacentral:lncRNA from 1 species